GACGAACGUUGGCGGCGUGCUUAAUACAUGCAAGUCAACUGAAGCAGUGGCAGCAAUAUCGCUGUGGAGGUGGCGCACGGGUGAGUAACACGUAGGUAAUCUGCCUUCAGGUCUGGCAUAACUCCGGGAAACCGGGGCUAAUAGCAGAUGAUGCAGCGGCUCGACAUCGAGACAGUUGUUAAAGCUAUGGCGCCUGAAGAUGAGCCUGCGUCUGAUUAGCUAGUUGGCGGGGUAACGGCCCACCAAGGCAACGAUCAGUAGCUGGUCUGAGAGGAUGAUCAGCCACACUGGAACUGAGACACGGUCCAGACUCCUACGGGAGGCAGCAGUAAGGAAUAUUGCUCAAUGGGAGAAAUCCUGAAGCAGCAACGCCGCGUGAGGGACGAAGGGCUUUGGCUUGUAAACCUCUGUAGUGAGAGAAAAAAAUCCCAAUCUUUGGGACAUGAUGGUAUCUCAAAAGUAAGCCCCGGCUAACUACGUG
rnacentral:rRNA from 1 species